CAACAGUUGCGCCUGGCCGGGGCCCUUGCUCAUGGUCUCUGCCUCGCCAGGAAAGGAAAAAAGGAAGCACAAAAGCUGAAACGUUGUGGUUCCUUUGCAGUUGUCACAUUUGUGCAAGGGGGGAGAGGGGGAAGUCCCAUUUCAGCCCAGAAAUGAACCUCAAUUUAGCAAUCUGGAUGAAGGAAACCAACGGGGUUUCUACGGAUCUGGUUGAGCGUGUUCGACAAUUGCCUGAGAGUCGACACUCGCACCGACAAGCUUGCGUAACACGGUACGCACCGGAGCCUGGAUUUCCACAGCCCUUGUCUGCAACACCUUAAUAUCAUUCCCAACAUCUAGACUUGUGGGAGAUAUUUUUUUUUUGCCUGUGGCUUGGAAAGCUAAAAGGGAGUUGAGACCUGUUUUGUGCUGAGGGGGAGAAGAACCCAUCUUGGAAAAAACAGGAGAAACCACGUGUGGAUCGUUUUCCUUCCCCCAAAAAAGUUCCACACGGAUGGGCCCACGUGGCCAGUUUCUUCUCCCCUGGAAAGGAAUGCAUGUUUUGAAAUGUUUCUUGUUUUAAAAGGAUUUUUUAAGGCUUUCAUUGUAAUGUAUGCUUUUGAAUUGUGAGCCGCCCAGUGUCGUCGGCUGAGAUAGGCGGUUAUAGAAAUCAAUCCAUCAAUCCAUCAAAUAAACAAAUAAAUAAAUAAUU